AAUGAAACGGUGACCAGUCCCGGGAAGCCCGCAAGAGACCUCAGCGGUGGCCGUCCGAGCGCCGAGAGGUGAGGGUGUCCCUGGCCUCACCUGCGGAGGGGCCGUUCCGGGCUCGAACCCGGCACCUUCCGGAAAAUGGCGGCUGCCAGGCCCAGCCUGGGUCGAGUCCUCCCAGGAUCCUCUAUCUUGUUCCUGUGUGACAUGCAGGAGAAGUUCCGCCACAACAUCGCCUACUUCCCACAGAUCGUCUCAGUGGCUGCCCGCAUGCUCAGGGUGGCCCGGCUGCUUGAGGUGCCAGUCAUGCUGACGGAGCAGUACCCGCAAGGCCUGGGCCCCACGGUGCCCGAGCUGGGGGCUGAGGGCCUUCGGCCACUGGCCAAGACCUGCUUCAGCAUGGUGCCCGCCCUGCAGCAGGAGCUGGACAGUCGGCCCCAGCUGCGCUCUGUGCUGCUCUGUGGCAUUGAGGCACAGGCCUGCAUCUUGGUGAGAUGCUGACUGACCCCAGGGGUCCCUCGUACUAACCCUGACCAGAAACCUCCAUUCCCUGCAGGACCCCCAUCCUGACCUGGGCCCUCUCUCCUCACCUGUGGGCCCCAUCCUAUCUUGGAUUCCCUCCUGACCUGGGGGCCCCCUGCUCUGAUCCGAGCCUCCCUCCUCCCCAUUCUGGGCCCCUAAUUCUGACUCACCAUCCCCAGUUCCUUACCCGGGACCCCUGUUCUUAUCCGGGGUUGGCCCUGACCUCUCUCUACCCAUA
rnacentral:sRNA from 1 species